rnacentral:sRNA from 1 species
UAUCCCAUGGGAUUUUUUUUUGGUCCCAUGGGAUAAUUGUAGUCCCAUGGGAUAUUUGUUGUCCCAUGGGACAAAAAAAAAUCCCAUGGGAUU